GACGAACGCUGGCGGCGUGCUUAACACAUGCAAGUCGAACGGAAAGGCCCUGCUUUUGUGGGGUGCUCGAGUGGCGAACGGGUGAGUAACACGUGAGUAACCUGCCCUUGACUUUGGGAUAACUUCAGGAAACUGGGGCUAAUACCGGAUAGGAGCUCCUGCUGCAUGGUGGGGGUUGGAAAGUUUCGGCGGUUGGGGAUGGACUGGCGGCUUAUCAGCUUGUUGGUGGGGUAGUGGCUUACCAAGGCUUUGACGGGUAGCCGGCCUGAGAGGGUGACCGGCCACAUUGGGACUGAGAUACGGACCAGAGUCAUACGGGAGGCAGCAGUGGGGAAUAUUGCACAAUGGGCGGAAGCGUGAUGAAGCAACGCCGCGUGCGGGAUGACGGCCUUCGGGUUGUAAACCGCUUUCGCCUGUGACGAAGCGUGAGUGACGGUAAUGGGUAAAGAAGCACCGGCUAACUACGUG
rnacentral:rRNA from 1 species